GAGUUUGAUCCUGGCUCAGAUUGAACGCUGGCGACAUGCUUUACACAUGCAAGUCGAACGGCAGCACGGGGGCAACCCUGGUGGCGAGUGGCGAACGGGUGAGUAAUACAUCGGAACGUAUCCUUAAGUGGGGGAUAACGCACCGAAAGGUGUGCUAAUACCGCAUAAUCUCCGAGGAGAAAAGCAGGGGAUCGCAAGACCUUGCGCUUUUGGAGCGGCCGAUGUCUGAUUAGCUAGUUGGUGAGGUAAAGGCUUACCAAGGCGUCGAUCAGUAGCUGGUCUGAGAGGACGACCAGCCACACUGGGACUGAGACACGGCCCAGACUCCUACGGGAGACAGCAGUGGGGAAUUUUGGACAAUGGGGGAAACCCUGAUCCAGCCAUGCCGCGUGAGUGAAGAAGGCCUUCGGGUUGUAAAGCUCUUUCAGCCGGAACGAAACGGUUACGGUUAAUACCCGUGACUACUGACGGUACCGGAAGAAGAAGCACCGGCUAACUACGUGCCAGCAGCCGCGGUAAUACGUAGGGUGCGAGCGUUAAUCGGAAUUACUGGGCGUAAAGCGUGCGCAGGCGGUUUUGUAAGUCAGAUGUGAAAUCCCCGGGCUUAACCUGGGAACUGCGUUUGAAACUACAAGGCUAGAGUGUGGCAGAGGGGGGUGGAAUUCCACGUGUAGCAGUGAAAUGCGUAGAGAUGUGGAGGAACACCGAUGGCGAAGGCAGCCCCCUGGGUUAACACUGACGCUCAGGCACGAAAGCGUGGGGAGCAAACAGGAUUAGAUACCCUGGUAGUCCACGCCCUAAACGAUGUCAACUAGUUGUCGGGUCUUAACGGACUUGGUAACGCAGCUAACGCGUGAAGUUGACCGCCUGGGGAGUACGGUCGCAAG
rnacentral:rRNA from 1 species